AAACACAGUAAAAGACUGAGGAAUAACCUCUUUAAGCUGCGUUCACUGAUUAUUUUGAGUGCUAAAGAUGGAUUUAGAAUUUCUGAAGUAAGGGUAAAAUCUGUUGAUAUCAGAAAGACUUUCGAUGGCGAAAGCAUUUACCAAUUUGGUUCUGACGCUGAGGUACUAAAGUAUGGGGAGCAAAAAGGAUUAGAGACCCUAGUAGUCCAUACCUUAAACAAUGAGUGUUCAACGUCUUUUAAGUACCCAAAAUAAGAUUCAUAUGAAUCUUAUUUUGAGAGGAUUAUUGGGGGUUUGAAGCUAACGCGCGAAACACCGCCUGGGGAAUGUGGCCGCAAGGUUAAACUCAAAGGAAUUGACGGAGACUCAUACAAGG
rnacentral:rRNA from 1 species